rnacentral:rRNA from 1 species
UACAGAGGGUGCGAGCGUUAAUCGGAAUUACUGGGCGUAAAGGGCGCGUAGGCGGUAAGAUGUGUGUGAUGUGAAAGCCCCGGGCUUAACCUGGGAAGGGCAUCGCAAACUAUCUAACUGGAGUAUAUGAGAGGGUGGCGGAAUUUCCGGUGUACCGGUGAAAUGCGUAGAGAUCGGAAGGAACGUCAAUGGCGAAGGCAGCCACCUGGCAUAAUACUGACGCUGAGGCGCGAAAGCGUGGGGAGCGAACAGG